UACGAAGGGGGCUAGCGUUGCUCGGAAUCACUGGGCGUAAAGCGCACGUAGGCGGAUUGUUAAGUCAGGGGUGAAAUCCUGGAGCUCAACUCCAGAACUGCCUUUGAUACUGGCGAUCUCGAGUCCGGAAGAGGUGAGUGGAACUGCGAGUGUAGAGGUGAAAUUCGUAGAUAUUCGCAAGAACACCAGUGGCGAAGGCGGCUCACUGGUCCGGUACUGACGCUGAGGUGCGAAAGCGUGGGGAGCAAACAGG
rnacentral:rRNA from 1 species